ACCCCUGUGAACAUACCACUUGUUGCCUCGGCGGAUCAGCCCGCUCCCGGUAAAACGGGACGGCCCGCCAGAGGACCCCUAAACUCUGUUUCUAUAUGUAACUUCUGAGUAAAACCAUAAAUAAAUCAAAACUUUCAACAACGGAUCUCUUGGUUCUGGCAUCGAUGAAGAACGCAGCAAAAUGCGAUAAGUAAUGUGAAUUGCAGAAUUCAGUGAAUCAUCGAAUCUUUGAACGCACAUUGCGCCCGCCAGUAUUCUGGCGGGCAUGCCUGUUCGAGCGUCAUUUCAACCCUCAAGCACAGCUUGGUGUUGGGACUCGCGUUAAUUCGCGUUCCCCAAAUUGAUUGGCGGUCACGUCGAGCUUCCAUAGCGUAGUAGUAAAACCCUCGUUACUGGUAAUCGUCGCGGCCACGCCGUUAAACCCCAACUUCUGAAUGUUGACCUCGGAUCAGGUAGGAAUACCCGCUGAACUUAAGCAU
rnacentral:rRNA from 1 species